rnacentral:rRNA from 1 species
AGUUUGAUCAUGGCUCAGAGUGAACGCUGGCGGCAGGCCUAAUACAUGCAAGUCGAACGGCAGCACAGCAGAGCUUGCUCUGUGGGUGGCGAGUGGUGGACGGGUGAGGAAUACAUGGGAAUCUGCCCAGUCGUGGGGGAUAACGUAGGGAAACUUACGCUAAUACCGCAUGCGCCCUUCGGGGGAAAGCCGGGGACCUUCGGGCCUGGCGCGAUUGGAUGAGCCCAUGUCGGAUUAGCUAGUUGGCGGGGUAAUGGCCCACCAAGGCGACGAUCCGUAGCUGGUCUGAGAGGAUGAUCAGCCACACUGGAACUGAGACACGGUCCAGACUCCUACGGGAGGCAGCAGUAGGGAAUAUUGGACAAUGGGCGCAAGCCUGAUCCAGCCAUGCCGCGUGAGUGAAGAAGGCCCUCGGGUUGUAAAGCUCUUUUGUCCGGAAAGAAAAGCGCCGGGUUAAUACCCUAGUGUCCUGACGGUACCGGAAGAAUAAGCACCGGCUAACUUCGUG